GAGAAAGAGGGAGAUGCAUCUGAUUCACCCAAACUCAUAAUCCAAGGAGAUCCAUUUGACUCGGCCAAGUCCCAGUGGAUGGUCAUGGUUGAAAGCAGAGUUAUUGGCCAUUCAUCAUCAACAACUGAAGGCUUUCUUUGUGGGGUGGCAUACCUUUUUGCCACCUAUUACAACCUCAAUUUGGAAUAUCCAAGCACGGCUGCAGCAACACUGGAGUUCAUUCAGAGAUGUCUCCUCGGAAUAAGCCCUGAUGGGUCGAAGUGCCAUGCGUCAAAGAGUCACUGCAACGUGAAAGUAGUGUCAUUUGUGCGUCGGUUUGCUGAUUUCCAGUGGCUUUAAUUUCCUGAUUUGUACAUUUUACCCCAUCAUCUAAAAACAUGUGAUUUUAUAUAUCACCCAAUAAUACUAUGUUCGCUUGGUCACCAUCCUCUUGAAUAAUUGGUUGAGCUUUGUCUGACCAAGCAACUACAGAGUUUAUGCCCAAUAUUGCAUAACAUGAGAAACUUGCUGAAAUAGAUUGUCGACAUGCUAGUUAUGAGAGAACAUUCAUUUGAAUAUGCUAUUAAGUUGACAUUGCCCACAACUUUAUUUUAGCCGUUUCUCAAAUCCAGGUCAAGUAAGAGUGGGGGAGGGGUAAAAUUCAUAUAGAAAUUGUAAAUGUAAAGGGGUUUCAUACUUGGAAAAAUAAAGUUAAGAAUAUCUCCUUACAACCGAAUUUGAACCAUACAAAAACAUAGAUAUAUGGCACUACACACUGUUUGUAUGCCUCCGCCCACCAAAGGUGGUGUCGGAGGCAUUAUGUUUUUGUGUUGUCCGUCGGUCCGUCUGUCCCACUUUCGUUCUCGCGAUAACUUAAAAACCGGUCAACAGGUCAACUUCAUACUUUUUGACUUGAGGAUACAUAUCUGGGCGACAAUGAGCUGAUAAGUGUUUGGGUCCAAAGGUCAAAGGUCAUAGAAUUCACUAAAAUACAUAAGAAAUAGACCAUUCUUACAAUAACUCCAAAACCCUUUGAUAGAUCAACUUCAAACUUGUCUCGUGUGUAUAUGUUAAAGUAACAAUGAUCUGUUCAGAUUUUGGGGUCUCAAGGUCAAAAGUCAAGGUCAUUGAAUACAAUAAAGUACAUAUAACAUAUACCGUUCUCGCAAUAACUCCAAACCAUUUGACGAAUCAACUUCAAACUUCGCUCAUUUGUGCAUAUACAAGUGACAAUGAUCUAUUAAGAUUUUGGGUCUGAAAGUCAAAUCUCAAGCUCUCUGGAUUCAAUCAAAUGCAUAUAUUUGCUUUUUUGAGAAACAGUUAUCUGACUAGAUUUUGAAGUCACAAGAUCAAAGGUCUUGAGGGUUUUUUUUUUCUUUAUGGAAAUAAAAACUAGGAAAUAUAUUUCUGGUAUGGCAGUAGCGGAGGCAUCUAUUUCCAACAUUCGUGGUCGAAAAUUCAUCUUUAGUUAGGAUUAACAUUGCUGUAAAUCAAUUUCGAUUUCAACAUUGUGCUACAUUAUAUAUAUAUGUAUAUAUAUAUACUGCGUAGUAAGCGCUUGGUCAUCAAGAUGUUGACAAAUAUUGCAAUAAGCUGUUUACUGAGAA